UGAUGAUUUAGUUAAAAAUGUUUACAGUUAGAUACACUGAACGUAAUGAUGUCAUUUUACUAGGGCGGUCUGA